UACAGAGGGUGCGAGCGUUAAUCGGAAUUACUGGGCGUAAAGCGCACGUAGGUGGCGACGUAAGUCGGGUGUGAAAGCCCCGGGCUCAACCUGGGAAUUGCAUUCGAGACUGCAUUGCUGGAGUACGGAAGAGGAAGGCGGAAUUCCCGGUGUAGCGGUGAAAUGCGUAGAUAUCGGGAGGAACAUCAGUGGCGAAGGCGGCCUUCUGGACGAUGACUGACGCUGAGACGCGAAAGCGUGGGGAGCAAACAGG
rnacentral:rRNA from 1 species